rnacentral:rRNA from 1 species
AUCGAUUUCUUCGGAUUGAAAUUUUAGUGACUGAGUGGCGGACGGGUGAGUAACGCGUGGGUAACCUGCCUCACACAGGGGGAUAACAGUUGGAAACGGCUGCUAAUACCGCAUAAGCGCACGGUUCCGCAUGGAACAGUGUGAAAAACUCCGGUGGUAUGAGAUGGACCCGCGUCUGAUUAGCCAGUUGGCGGGGUAACGGCCCACCAAAGCGACGAUCAGUAGCCGACCUGAGAGGGUGAUCGGCCACAUUGGAACUGAGAGACGGUCCAGACUCC